GAUGAACGCUGGCGGCGUGCCUAAUACAUGCAAGUCGAGCGAACAGAUGAGGAGCUUGCUCCUCUGACGUUAGCGGCGGACGGGUGAGUAACACGUGGAUAACCUACCUAUAAGACUGGGAUAACUUCGGGAAACCGGAGCUAAUACCGGAUAAUAUAUUGAACCGCAUGGUUCAAUAGUGAAAGACGGUUUUGCUGUCACUUAUAGAUGGAUCCGCGCCGCAUUAGCUAGUUGGUAAGGUAACGGCUUACCAAGGCAACGAUGCGUAGCCGACCUGAGAGGGGGGUGGACAAAAAGGGACAGAAGACAGGGGCAAGACACCUCGGGGAGGAGCAGGAGGGGAACCUUCGGAAAUGACGGAAAGCCGAACGGAGAAAUGCGGAGGGAUGAAUGAAGUGUUACGGAACGAAGAACUCUGUGAUGGGGGAGGAACAAAGGGGUAAGGAAAAAUGCACGGCGUGACGGUACCUAAUCAGAAAGCGACGGCUAACUACGUG
rnacentral:rRNA from 1 species